CUUCAGUGUGUGCUCAGCUCCCAGCCAUGCUGAAAGAAAAACAACUUUAAUGUAUUUCCUGAGAGGCGACUCUUCUGUGUUGUGAUCGGAAAAGUAUUAAUGCAACGAACUGAUGUGAAUUUUUCAUCAGAACAAAGCUUAGCAACAUGGUUUUCUUUCUGGGAAAAAUCUCAGCAAUGUACUUAAUUUAGGAAGUUGAGGGGAAGGGAACAAAACGGUAAUAAAAACAGAAUACGGAAAUCCACCAAGCUGAGAUCAGAGGAUGGGAGUCUUAUAAGGAGAAACUUGUGCUGUUCCUUUUCUUCCCCAGGCAUCAAAAAGAAAAUAGCUGGCUGUGGCACAGGGCUGAGGAACCUCAACAUCUGCUUUUGCUGAAGCUGUCCAAGGAAGGAAUGCAUGCUACCCCAAGGAUGAUGCAGAUGAACUUAAAGAGGACCUCAAGGGAAGCAGGAGGGCAGUGGAGGCUCAAACCUUCCCAGCUGGGUGGACAUAGCUCAGGAGGGAUCCAUGUUAUGAUGUUGUUGCCUUGAGAGUAUCAACAGCUUCAAACAUUAAAAACAUUUGCCUGCAGUGGGGGUCAGUAUUUUGUUUUCUAAGAUUUAUUUCUAAUAUUUUGCAAAUUACCAGAAUGUUGGGGUGAUCUAAGCCUUUGCACCAAGCACUGUAUGUUUUGAAAAAUGUAAAAUACGUGCCUCACAGGCAAAGAUAGAGCACAUCUUGCCACGGUAAUCUGGUGAUUGCUUUCAAACCAUUGCUUUCUACUUCAUUGCACGUAAAUAUGAUUCUCCAAGCAUCUUUGCAUGAAUUUGACAGGAAGAAAAUCACAAGUCUUUCAUGCAAGAACAGCUAAAAGCAAACUAGGAAGGAGCAUCUUGGAGAAAAAGUACAGAUAGGACUCGCUGCCAUAGCAAUGGACCUUAAAGCCUGGGGUGUUCCUAGUGAGUGCAUUCAGCCUGAGAUAUUCUCCUAACUGGCUCAGAAGUAUGAAUAGCCAUCACUGGGUCUGCAUUUGAGACAACUGCAUGUUCUAGUGGGACACUGAAAAUAGAAACCUGACCUUAUUAUGCUGUCUGUAAAUGGUUGCAUACUUUUCUAUUACAAUUAGUAGUUUUGUUGUUUUUAGAUGCUGUGGGUUAACCCCAGCUGAGCCCUACAGAGCUACCACCAAUAGGAUGGGAAAGAAAGGUAGAAAGUGAGAAAACUCCUGGGCUGAGAUAAAGACAACUUAGUAGGUAAAGCAAAACUGCACCUAUAGGCAAAGCAAUACAAGGAAUGCAUUGACUUCUUCCCAUCAGCAACAGAUGUUUAGCCAUUUCCAGAAAAACAGGGUCCAUUGUGUGUAGCGGUUACUUGGGAA
rnacentral:lncRNA from 1 species